CCCUGUGUUCCUGGGACCCAUCUUCUGUAGCCAUCUUCCCCCACAGUAGAGCAUGGCUUUGUUUUUAACAAAGCUGUCACUGUUUAGUUGGUACCAGCUUCUAAUUUGCACAGGUAACAGUU
ensembl:snoRNA Gm23482 predicted gene, 23482